rnacentral:lncRNA from 1 species
GCGGGAUGUAUCAAGUUCGCAGUCACGUCCGUCAGAAGGGGACGUUAAAUCCGAUGCCUCAUGUAAAGAGAGUGCCACGCUGUUUGCACGUUAAGAACCCUUGCAACAACUCUUUGAGGGGUCCGUAGGUGGCCUGUUGCAAGGCAAAAUGUCUGUCCCUAUCCAAUAUACCCUCAUUUUCCAGUGGCAGUCCAAAUUUCCCCGACCAUCAUCCUAGAUGGCCUCUAUAACAACAACCUACCUAUUGUAUUUAUUGUAAACUUGUUCUCGUCCUGAAUAUGCAUGAAAUAUUUGCCACUGGACGUUAAGCAACCAACAAUCAAUCAAUCAAUUAUAU